GACAACCCCAGCAUGACCCUAGGACUGCCAGCAGCUGAUACAUACGGGCUUCAUUCAAAUUCAGAUCUUUCCCUUUGAGACUCCCGACAAGCCUAGCUAAUCUGAGCAAAUAACUUGCAGGCCACAUGGAGACAAAGAUCUUCCCCCAGAAGCAUGGGCUUGUUGCUUUGCAGUGCUGGUGACCUAUUCCCUUUGAAGAUCCCUAGGUUGAGAUGGGGCAUGAGGAUCCUCCAGGGGAAUAGCUCACCACCACUGGGCAACAGCCCUAGCCCAAGGGGUUUUAGUGAGACACUUUGCUGAACCCAGCAAGGAAGAUAGAGUCAAAGACAGCCACCCUACAUCAAAAUAGGAGAAAAGCUGCCACAGUAGUGGUACUGACUUCACGAGCAAGUCAUUCUGUUUCAUCUAGUUCUCAAAGCCUCCCUGGGAGCUCUGUAGGAGAACGUUACCAGCUGUUUACACAUCUCAAGAUUCAUUGUGCUACCGGCCCAAUAGGAUAUACACUCCAUCUACUAAAUCAUCAUCCUUCCUCAAAGCAGCACAGAAAGCUGGAUCUUCAGUGGGAUCACAAAAUGUGAACACACGAAAGGAAGUCAGUUUUAUGACCCACGGAUCAACAUGGCUGCAUCUUAAAACCACAGAAUGAAUGUGUAUUGUGUUGUGUGUCUUCAUUGUUUUAUGCAUCUAUUUCUUCCUUGCUUUGUGUGUCUAAUUCUUCUUCAGUGUAUCUGUUUGUUCCUUGCUUUGUGUGUCUAAUUUUUCUUUCAUGUAUAUCUAUUUCUUCCUUGCUUUGUGUGUCUAAUUCUUCUUAGAUGUUUCUAUUUCUUCCUUGCUUAUACAUCUUCCUUCCUUCCUCUU